UUUUUUUCCAAAAAUAUAUUUGCUAAUGAUUGACCACAAAUCUUCUUCAUAAAAUAUUUAAAUCGAGAAGAGAAUAACACAUCAGCAGGAUAUCCAUGGUCUCCGACACGAUUGAAGAUCCAAGCCCCUCUUCUGGUGCUGAGGAAAACCUGAGGCACGGGGAAAGAAUGUUUGUUUUUGCCGUUCUCUGACUCAUUUCUCUGAAGGAAUGGGAACCCAGUUUCUUCAAGAUGAACUUCAAACUCAUUAGUCUGGCUUUUUAUUCCCUGGCAAUAUAUAUAUUUUUAAAUUUCCUGCCAUUUUCUUGUCAAACACUAAGCUUACAAUUAAAUUGGUGUAGUCACUGACCAAGACUCUGUCUUGCUCUGAACUACCAGUGCAUUUCUGUUUAAUGUCAUUAUGCCUCCCUGAAAAGUUUAAUUCUCCAAAGCCUAUUCAUUUUUCAGAUCCAGAUCAAGUCUCCCUCCUCCAUGAAGAUACCACUGACUGUUCUGGCUGAUAAUUUUCUCUCCAUCUUCUGAACUUCUCUAGCACUUGUCACCUGUCCAACUCAUUUAAAAUCAUGGAACAGUAAAGCUGAAAGCAACUGGACAUCAUUAAUCCAAAACCUUCAGUCUUUAUUUUGCCUUUGACAUUGUUUACAUUAUUACAAAAAAUUAUUUAUAUUGACAUUUAACAUUAUAUAUUCUUAUUUUUUAUCUUUCCAAAUGUGUUUUCUCCAAGGUGGGAGGUAGAGCAUAUACCUCCUUUAGUCACCAACCUAUCAUCAGCAUCACUUCCUUUUAUUGAGAAUUGUAACCUAUAAAUCGCUGUACUAGGUCCUUUAUCUAUAUUUUUAUUUAAUCAAUACAACAACCUCUUGAGGUAGGUACUGUUAUGUCCUUUAUAUGGGUGAGGAGAAUGGAGAGGAUGAAUAACUUGCCUGAGGUCAUAUAGCACUAAGUGGUAGAGCUGAAUUUCCUACCUAAGUCUGACUGACUCCAAAGCCUGUGCUUAAGUAAUGUUUCAUCGAUUAUUUAAGGGAAAAACUGAAGAUUGCAAAUAGCACAAAGGGAGCUGGUCCGUCUUUCUGUUAUCUGCUGGCUAAAGUCCACAUUCAGAGCUGAUAAAAAGUUUGGUAUUCAACUACCUGGCAAAAGCAUCACUUUAUAUUAUAAAACUCUCUGGAGAUAGUUUCCCGGGUUGUAAGCUAUAUAAGUACAUUGUGUUAUGGUGUUUUGUCUUAACGCUUCGUGUUAAAAUGUGACCUGUCUAUAGAGGGCUAAUCAUGUACUUCAUACAUAUAUUCUCACUGAUGGUGACCUUAAACUCUACCAUAAUUAAGCACUUUUACGUGUCACCGUUGAACGAGCCUGCGUGGUCUUAGGAAUCAAUGGCUUUUUGUGCACUCUAUAUAACUUUUAACAUAUAAGUUGUGAGUAAUGUAAAUGCUCAGAGCUUUAAUUAAAAAGUUCUCUGUGUAUAAAAUAGUGACAAAAAUACAUACGUCACAAAGCUUUUUCAGACACAGCUACCUUACCUCCACCCGCUCUUGCUGCCUUGUUCUUUGGCAAUUUACAAUUCCUCAGUGCUUGUAAGGCCCAGCUCCUCUACAGCUGACCAUUUAACAAGCCAAUGGUAUUAAAGAAAGCUCAUGCCUUCGGUCCCCACCACAUACCUGGUACAUUCUUUUAUCAUAGCACCCAUACCCUUUAUUGUUUAUAUACCUAUUUCCUAAUAAAUGCUUGUUGAAUUAAUUUGUGGAGUAAUAUAUGAAAUCAGUUUUGUGGUGAUCAAUGGGGAUAGACUGAGAGGAAGUGUUACUGAAUGGAGUUUGUGGGUAAAGUUCAUUUAACAAAGUUGUGGCAUUAAACUUCUAUUUUUAAAAAUAAUUGAAAAACAAUUUGUGGAGAUGCACAGCUUAAUUAAAGUUACUGAAGAACAACCAGGCAUUUAUGUAUUGCCAAUAAAGUUGUGAUUCAAUAAAUAUAUGAAUAACAAAAUAUAUCAAUAAUGUCUUUUUUUUAAUAAUGUCUUUUUCUAGGAAUUUAUAAUGAAGCUACUUCCUUCCCAGUUCAAAAUCUAUCAUACAAAAAAUAAUACAAACCAAAAAACGCAAGGAUAUAGAAACUGCUUUAGAGUGAAUGUUAUUCGAAACUGCUUUAGAAUGAAUGUUAUUCUGUGUUACCUAAUUGUAUGCAAAGGCUGGAGAGAGCUGCUUGUAUGUGCUACAAUGUAGUGGUUGCUUUUCAUACUGAUAUCCAUGUUGUCUUUUUUUUUUUUUUUUAGGAUUAAAGACCUGAUGAGAGUUCACUUUAAUGCAAUUGACUAGGAAAUUUGAUUGUUUCAGUCACGUAACAUUUUAAGAUAAUAACUGGAAUUAUGACUAAUUACAUUAUAACAAGAUAUAUCAUGGACACCAAAGACAUUGAAAAAUUUCUAGGAACUUCAUACAAUUUUGGAAACAUUAAUAACAUAUAUCCAUAAAAAUACAAACUAAAGAAGAUUAAACAUUGCUUCUUUUUUUCUCAACAAACUGUAAAUAAAAUUUAAUAGGGUAUCAUGUAGCCAGAAGGAGGCAGUGCGCCAUUUAGAGGAGUGAUUGUUAUGUCAAAGUGAUCUCCUACAGGGAACUCAUUAGACUGCAGGGUUACAGAAUCAUCAGUCUUCUUUCUCCUAGACAUGGUACUGCCAGUCUUCUUAUUUGAUAGCUGAAUGUUUUAAGUGCCAUAAAAGAAUCACAGAAUUUAUCUAUGUACCCUUUCUAGCUCCUGGGUAGAUUUCUUUCACUAAACUAGUUAGUUUGUUCAAGGUUGCAUUCAACCAAGUGUACCACUGUAGCUCACUGGAUUGUACAUUUCUGCAGGAGGACGUGUCCAUUCCAUGAUGGGAGACAUUGCUGGUGGUGAAGACACACAGCAGCAGGAGAACUUGGAAGCUACUUGGAUGUCUUUCAGUAGGCGAAUGGUGCAUCUGGACAGCAAAGUAUUAUUCAGUGUUAAGAAGAAAUCAGCUACCAAGCCAUGAAAAGAUUGGAAACAAAACGAAACAAAAAGAUUGGUCAUAUUCAGAAUUGGAGAAGUGAUGGAAGUGGGCAUGCUCAUCUACUGUGGGUGGAAGAUAAAUUAAUUAAGCUUUCAUGUGGAACAAGUUUAUCAAAACUGUGAGUUCCUUUU